GUAGUCGGAUUCGCAUCAAUCCACAUAUGUUGGAGUGGAUUGAAGUAGAACUUGAACUAAAUUCUACCCUAAUCCACUUCAACACAUGUGGAUUGAGGUGAAUCCGGUA
rfam:Sorghum bicolor cultivar BTx623 chromosome 1, whole genome shotgun sequence.